rnacentral:rRNA from 1 species
ACAUGCAAGUCGAACGGGAAACCUUUUAUUGAAGCUUCGGCAGAUUUAGAUUGUUUCUAGUGGCGGACGGGUGAGUAACGCGUGGGUAACCUGCCUUAUACAGGGGGAUAACAGUCAGAAAUGACUGCUAAUACCGCAUAAGCGCACAGGACCGCAUGGUCCGGUGUGAAAAACUCCGGUGGUAUAAGAUGGACCCGCGUUGGAUUAGCUGGUUGGUGAGGUAACGGCCCACCAAGGCGACGAUCCAUAGCCGGCCUGAGAGGGUGAACGGCCACAUUGGGACUGAGACACGGCCCAGACUCCUACGGGAGGCAGCAGUGGGGAAUAUUGCACAAUGGGGGAAACCCUGAUGCAGCGACGCCGCGUGAAGGAAGAAGUAUCUCGGUAUGUAAACUUCUAUCAGCAGGGAAGAAAAUGACGGUACCUGACUAAGAAGCCCCGGCUAACUACGUGCCAGCAGCCGCGGUAAUACGUAGGGGGCAAGCGUUAUCCGGAUUUACUGGGUGUAAAGGGAGCGUAGACGGAUGGACAAGUCUGAUGUGAAAGGCUGGGGCUCAACCCCGGGACUGCAUUGGAAACUGCCCGUCUUGAGUGCCGGAGAGGUAAGCGGAAUUCCUAGUGUAGCGGUGAAAUGCGUAGAUAUUAGGAGGAACACCAGUGGCGAAGGC